rnacentral:rRNA from 1 species
UACGUAGGGAGCGAGCGUUGUCCGGAAUUAUUGGGCGUAAAGGGCUCGUAGGCGGCCAAUUAAGUCAGACGUGAAAUCCCUCAGCUUAACUGGGGAACUGCGUCUGAUACUGGAUGGCUUGGAUCCGGGAGAGGGAUGCGGAAUUCCAGGUGUAGCGGUGAAAUGCGUAGAUAUCUGGAGGAACACCGGUGGCGAAGGCGGCAUCCUGGACCGGUAUUGACGCUGAUACGCGAAAGCUAGGGGAGCAAACAGG